rnacentral:lncRNA from 1 species
UAUACCUGGUAUCCGAUUGAGUACUCACAUUAAACCGAAGCUUUAAAUGGCGUUGUGUGUGUUUUCCAUCAUAUUAUUUAGGCAUGGGCAUUCGGGGUCCCAAUUGGGUUUCGGUUUUAUCCAUUCGGGUUUUGGUUUUUCGGGUUUAUCAAAAUCAACCCCAUUCGGGUUAUAUAAAAGUUCGGUUCGGGACCGGUUCGGGUUCGGAUCGGGGUUAGUAAAUCUUCAAAAAACUGGUAUAACCCAUUGUACUUUCGGGUUCGGGUCCCAAUCGGUUCUUCGGUUUAAAAAUACCUGAUUUGAACCUAUUUUGUAACUAAAACAUAAAUGAAAUCGGUUCUUUGGAUUUAAAAUACAUGAUUUGUACAUAUUUUAAUAGCCAAAACAUAAC